GCUCGGACUGAGCAGGUGGG
rnacentral:miRNA from 1 species